AAUAAAAACGCGUUGAAAAAAUGUUGACCGACUGAUUUACAAACGAUAGAGGGGUAAAUAGGAAUUUUACAAUCCCCAGUAAAUCUCGAAUAUUCUACACAAUCCCGAAAAUCACUCAUCCACUUUCCAUAUAUAGUUAUUCUUGUGAAAUUAGGGGAAAAACUGUAGAAAAAAAAAUCAAAUCGAUAACCACCAUUCCAUUUAGCUUGGAGAAGAACUGAAGAAAAUUUGAAGAACGUGUUCAUUGUCGCGGAGGAAAAAAAAAAGAUCGAAGAAGGUGAGUUCAAAUUUUACAUACUUGCAGAAACUAAAAAUUUUCGAAUAUAUUAAAGAACCAACAACAUUUAAAUAGUUCUCUAGUUUAUAGAUCUGUAAAAUCUAAGAUUUUUUAUACAAGAAUCGUCUUGUAUUUACUGACAAUUGCUUUUGAAUUCAAAAAUUAGUUCAAAACCCUACUAGAAACAAAAAUUUCCUUUUCUGUCAUUGCUUUACUGAAUUUACAAUAGAAUAAUGAGGGUCCCAGUGAGAUUUCUAAUGAAACAUUCGAAAGUAGAAAUAUAGUAUUCCCUCCUUUUGUAUUUUUUGUGAAGAUGCCCCCCCCCCCUCCCUUCACUUCCGUCGUACCCACCACCCCUUACCAUGAGUAACAAAGCAAAAAAAAAAUUAUACUGUAUUCGAUAUUAUCUGAUAACUAACUCCUCUUUAUUUUGUGUAUUACCAAAAUAAUGCAAUCUCAAAUAGUGUUGAUGCACAGGAGACACCAAAGAAGGGGAAGCAGAAAAUUUUACAAGUUCCUGGAACCAGUAAGAAGAGGAAAUCCACAAUGGAAUCAACAGAACCAAAUGCAUAUGACGAUUUUGUUGACAGUCCCCCACUUCUUACACAAGGAGGCAGAAAAGAUGGGAGUACAUCAAAAGGAAAAACUCCAAAAAAAAGAGUGAAAUGCAGUACCAAGAAAAAAAAAAAUCUGUUGACAAGAGUAUAACAUCAAUAUCCGGAGAGAAGGAUGAAGUGAAGGGUAAAAAGAAACGUCGUCGACAAAAAAAUCCAAAAGGUGUCAAAUGCAAGAGAAGAUGCCUACGUCAAGCUGGUGUAAGUGAACAAAAUGAAGAAACAAAGAAGAAGGCCAAACUAAGGAUGAUAAAAAUACCCAAAACUCAACACUCGAAGCAUGCCGACUGCCUUCUACAAGAAGCUGCGUGAGUUGAAUGAGGCACAUCGUAGAGCCGUUCAUGCAAUAGGAUUUGGAAGAAUAUUGGAAUUCACAAUAAAAGAUGUGCCUUCAAGAUUAGCGUACUGGGUAUUAGACAGGUAUGAUUCUCGAAGUGGAUUACUCGAAAUAGAUGGAACAUGCAAGGUGAAGAUUGAGGAGGAUGAUGUAUACUGGGUAUUCGGAUUUCCAAAAGGCGAUAAAAUAUUGAUGUAUUCGCAAGGACAACGGUAAACGAAUUAUUAAACAAAUAGAUGAGAUUCUUCCAAGGCAAAAGCAGCGAAGAGAUAAAGAUCAAGAAUGUUCUGAACAAAAUGAUCAACUGUGAAGAUGGAUGGACUUGGUUUAUCAGGCAUUUCAUGAUUGUCAUGUCAUUCCGCUUAUGGAGAGCUGCACAAGCGGAACAGUUCAUCCAUACAUUCUCAGAUGCUUAGAAAAUGUCAAUGAGUUGUCAUCCUGGAAUUGGGGAGGGGGGGAAUACAUAUUAACAAUGUUGAUAGACCACAAACGAUCAUGGAUAGAUGACAAGUCAAAAUUAUUUGGUGGCCCCGUCUUAUUCCUCAUGCUGUUCUAUGUUGAUAGAAUUGAAAUUCACAGGCAAAUCCAUGAUAGGACAUUCCCUGGAUUCAUAAAUUGGACAAGAAAAAUGCUAAGAGAUAGGCAAAGAAUCGAGAAAAAUAAUAGAUUUAGAGGUGGAGGUCAUCUUCUUGAAGCCAGCUGCCAGAUGAAUACUCAAAAGUUAAACAAGGAACAAACACGGAGACUGAUGGAGUAAGACAACUUACCAUUGAAAAGCAAAACGACUGUGGGACAGAGACAACAGCUUCAAAGUUCAUGAAUGAAUCUAUGGCAAUUGCAGAGCGAAUUGAAAAUCUACGUGCCCUUGUGAGAGCUGCACCAGAGAGUGAGCAUCAUUCAAAGCUUCUAAGGGACAACAUCAACGCGGGAUGCAAAUUAAUGGGCAUAGUCUCUGAGGUUGAUAACAAAUCUGACAAAGAUAAGAACAUCGACAUAGAUAUGUACAAUGAUCCAAUUUUUGAGUCAGAAUAACUCUUUGUAGCCUUGGAUGCC